ACUCUUCGAAGUACAGCAGUUCCACGAUAUAUGAUUAUCUCAUGUAUUCCGGUAAAAAAAUUUCAAAAACAAGAAAAAUCAUGACUCAAAAAUGCAAAUAUCGGUCAUUUUAGUUAAACACCACACCCGCGUUGCGUUCAGCGUUUUUAGUCUUCUUGUUUACUCAGUCAUACUUUUCACUCGAGUGUGGCUAGUAUAAAAUAGACAUGUGUUCGUCGAACGUGAAGAUUUAUUUCGGUGUCUUUUGAAAAAGAGAAGUGAACGGAAUAUGCUUAGUUUUGAAAAAAAAGUUGAAAGUAUUUUUUCCGCUGGUGAUCAAUGAUGGGCUCGUAAUAAUAGAUCUUUUUCUGCUUUUCGAAAUUUUGUUUGUUGUUCCGUUACGUUUCUCAGUUUACCCCAUUCAACGCGCCCGCACGUGUGUGUUAAAUGGUGUUUCAUGCUUAAGAAUUACAUAUUUCCUUAUUUUUAUGAACACGAAAACUCAAAAAUUUGAAUUUUUGCCCGUUUUCAUGUUUUUAUGCAAUAUUGGCAGAAUAUAUUCCGAAAUUCGUUUUGGCCAACUAAACUUUAGGGGAAACUGCCAUUCUUGCAAUAUUUUUUUACUUUUUGUGCUAUUUAUUUUCUAAACUAUUUUUUGUGACAGACCCGGCUACCAAAUGUAUUUGCUCAUAAUUUUCACUGCCUCUUCCCCUGCAUAAUAUGCAUAUAUGCCGGUCAUAAAAUUACGAACGGACCCAUAUAUGAUCACACAUCACCCACCUACACGUAUAUACGUGUGCAUGCCACGGUGCGUUGGGAAGAAAAAAUAUCCGGUCUGCUCUCAGUCUGUCACGUCUGUCACUUCAUAACAUAACCUUACAUAAGGUUCAGGUUAUGUCCACGAGAUUUUUUAGGUUAAGGAUUAACUAAUAAUAUUUUACUGUAUCAGAGCGAAUAACAGUGAAUAAAAAAGUAGUGGAAUUAAAAAAAUAGAAAUUAGAAUCGAGGGAAUCGAAUAGUCAAAACAUUUGCGACAUGGAAAAAUUUAGUGACAGCUGGAGAACACUCGUCAUUGCGGAUGAGAAAUAUUCUAUUCGUUGUUUGGAACGAGAUAGAUCUUUCAAAAUAUUUCUCACGAACCUUCAUGACAUUUGGAUUGAGUAUCUGGAUGAAAAUAAUAUUAUACAAAAGUGCAAGACAUUGAACCCGAGUUUGAGCAUAGAGGAUAUGGAUAUUGUUCGCUACAUCGGACAGCUCCUCAUGGAUAUAGAAAAACGUGCUGUAAAAAAAUCUGUUGAACACAUCGAAUUUGCUGAAAAUUUAGAUGAGGAGACAAACAAUACUAUUGGAUCUAGUCAGGAAAAAGGAUGAAGAGAUUACGGAGUACAAACUCAAUGGAGCUAAAUUAACAAGAAGUAUUUUUGAAGCAUGAAAUUCUAUUGAUGUUUAAUUCCCAUUAUUAGAGAUAAACUUUUUGAUAUUGAAUUGAAAUUCUUUCCUAUUGGAAUAUUCAAGUUUGUUAAACACACAAAUUGGAUUAUCAAUAUUUAAAAAUGCGUUCAAUUUUGGUCAGUGUAAAUCAAAACUCAUGUUUAUAAAUUAUCAUCAAGGGCAAAAAGUGGUGUGUAAAUAUUCUACCCUGUUGACUGUCCAUCCAAUUACGUCAAGAAACAAAAGAUUUAUUUCUAUGACAAGAAUCUACUCAAGUAUACCAAAUUUCUUUUUUUUGUGAUAGUAACUCAUCUAGUAGGGCAGUCUUUUUUUUAAGCUUAAAACAAUGAAAAUAAUUUUUUACCCACAGAGUAUAUAACAACAGAAAAGUUUGAUCAAGCGGUAUUUCAAAGAAAUGCACCAAAGCUCGAUAUCAAACACAUAUUUGAAUCGUUCGAAAACGUUAUGGCGAUGCAAGCUGAAGUGAAAGAUUCCAUCAAACUCAAACCAGUGUGUCUGACACAAGAAAACAAUGACGUGGCCUUGAUAAAGAAUGAAGUUCUGGAGGAUUCCGAAUCAACAGAACAGCGUGAAAAUUCUUCAACAAUCUUGGAAAAUAUCGAAGAUACGUCAAACGUUAAAAUAAAAAAGAUUAAAAAACCAAUGGAUGACGAUUAUGGGGAAAAUGAAGCGAUGACGCGAAAAAAGUCUCGUAGUGCUCCUACCGAAUCGUUCAAAAAGACGAAAAAUACUAUUCAUGAUUUUAUAAAAUGAGAAUUCAGAAUUUUCAACAGUUUUUUUAAUGUCAAAUCAUUUUGGUACCGACAAAUGUUGUAGGUAAAAAGUGUGCAUUUUAUUUAUUACUGAUUCCAAACAUCGAAGUUUUACAAUUGCUAACUUAAAAACUAAUAACAACUAUAUGAGUACAGUACUAAUUA